AGUGAACGCUGGCGGUAGGCCUAACACAUGCAAGUCGAACGGCAGCACAGUAAGAGCUUGCUCUUACGGGUGGCGAGUGGCGGACGGGUGAGGAAUACAUCGGAAUCUACUUUUUCGUGGGGGAUAACGUAGGGAAACUUACGCUAAUACCGCAUACGACCUACGGGUGAAAGCAGGGGAUCUUCGGACCUUGCGCGAUUGAAUGAGCCGAUGUCGGAUUAGCUAGUUGGCGUGGUAAAGGCCCACCAAGGCGACGAUCCGUAGCUGGUCUGAGAGGAUGAUCAGCCACACUGGAACUGAGACACGGUCCAGACUCCUACGGGAGGCAGCAGUGGGGAAUAUUGGACAAUGGGCGCAAGCCUGAUCCAGCAAUACCGCGUGGGUGAAGAAGGCCUUCGGGUUGUAAAGCCCUUUUGUUGGGAAAGAAAAGCAGCAGGUUAAUACCCCGCUGUUCUGACGGUACCCAAAGAAUAAGCACCGGCUAACUUCGUG
rnacentral:rRNA from 1 species